UACAGAGGUCUCAAGCGUUGUUCGGAUUCAUUGGGCGUAAAGGGUGCGUAGGCGGCGGAGCAAGUCUGAUGUGAAAUCCCGGGGCUCAACCCCGGAACUGCAUUGGAUACUGCUCUGCUUGAGCACUGGAGAGGAGACUGGAAUUUACGGUGUAGCAGUGAAAUGCGUAGAGAUCGUAAGGAAGACCAGUGGCGAAGGCGAGUCUCUGGACAGUUGCUGACGCUGAGGCACGAAGGCCAGGGGAGCAAACGGG
rnacentral:rRNA from 2 species